CCGCCCCGCGGCCCCUGAGGGGCUGUGCCAGGGGCUGGCCCUCUUCCCGGCAGCUGGAGGGGUGCUUGUGACUCGGCGACCCGCCCUCCUUCCCUCCGCCGGUCACCUCCGCCGUGGGGUGGAGGGCCCCGAGGGCCUGGCCGGCCCCUCUCCCGCCUUCCCCUCGCCGUCGGAGGGGCGCGAGCUCCCGCCGAGGGAAGGGGCGAGGCUCUGCCCUCAGCCGCGGCGCUCCUGCUCCUCACCGGGAGAGUAAAGCUGCCAACAGCUGAGUGUCAAGCUGGUCUUCUCGGACAACUAUCAACAAUCACCCCCAGAUUUCUUUAUUGCUGAGAGGAGGUGAAUCAGACCCAAGCUACCGAUACCAAAUUAACCAAAUAAACUGGAGGUUUUUUACUAGAUUUUCCUGCAUAUCAUUGCUGUCACAAAGGACCAACACAUACUGUAAUCUGAGCAACUCCAGACUGGGAAAAUCCAGGUGUCAAUCUUAAAGUUGUUAAUUCGUGCAGUCUUUGGAACGUGGUGCUGUUAAAAUCCUCAGCUCAUGGCAUCAAGACAUUUGAGGAAGAAAUGUGGGGAGGGGAAAACUAAGUAAAUUUUUAUCAACUGUGCAGUUGAAGAAAAGUAUGAAAAUUUCCUAAAAAGCAUCCUCCAUGAAUUUCGAUGCUGCCAUUUGGGUUUCCUGAAACAGAAACUCGUCUUCCUGACGGCUGCAAUUGCGCUGACUUACGCAAGUCAACCACCCCGUCAUUGCUCAUCGCCCUCCUUCCCAAACCGAGCGUUGACAGCUGACACCAGCAGAAGAAGAGCUAAAAGCCCUCCCAGAUGCAGGCACUCAUCGAAGUCACAUCUCGUCAGGGCCAUCCGGUUGUGAAAUCAGACUUCUUCCCCCAUUUGUGGGGUGUUGCAUCCCGCAGGACCCUUCAGAGCUUGUCAGCACUGUGAGGUUGGCCGUUGGAAGUGAGGAGCCUCUUCCGUGGGACAUGGUGUCUGUCUAAAAUGGAGGCUACAUCAUCUAAAAUGGUUUCCUUCAACCCUUCCUUCUUGUGCCGCACCUGAACGCCAGCUGUAUUGGUGCACACGUGGAGAAUAUUUGCCUAAAAUCCCAACCUUAACAAAAGCCAUCUGGAUUUGGAGAGUUUCUCUUAUUUUUCCUGAUUUUGACCUCAGCAGCAACAACGAUAUUAGUAAAUUCAACAACUCUGAGGCCUCGAGGACCACUGACAAAGUCUGGCCACAUCCCCACUACUGAACUCUCUUAGCCCCAGGAGAAGAGUCGCUUUAUCCCAGCGGCCUCCUGAAACCAUCCACGGCCCGUGCUAACUCCUCAGGAGUUAUUUGGAGGUGUUCAAGUUGACCCACAGCAAAAUUACACCCAGGACUGUGCUAACAGUGUCAGCGAUUCCAUCAGUUUGGAGUUAAUCAGGUCUCAACGGGACUUGAUUACUUCGCACACUGCGAGCAAUUAAUUACCUUCUCGAAGCAAGACUUGCAAACCCACUUCUCAUGGUGUAGGAUGGUUUUCGUGGUGAACACUCAAAAUGGUUCCUCUCCCCCUGGCGACUUCUGGUAAGCCAGGAACUGUGAGAGGAAGCCACGGCUGAGCAUCAUCUCCUUCAAGCAGCCGACUGCCGGGAUUCAGGGCACCUACCUUGUUCAUCUCUAUUUUUGAGACCAGAAUUUCUUCCAACCUAUAGGAAAAGCUUGAGCUGGGCUGUUGGGAGAUGAAGUUCUUGCACACCGUGGUGAGCGGCAAGUCGGCAGGCUGGCACGUGCGCCUCUGCGCAGCCUCUGCCCAGGAGCAGAUUACGUGACCUUCCCAGGCUCGAUGCUCUCGACGAGCUGGAGGGGGAAAAACUGCCCAGAUUUACAAGCAGCUACAAACCCUCGUUGGAUCCAGAGUAACCGCGGUAAACGUUGUGUGGUCAGGGAGAAGGGAAGUAGGUAGCCAUGAAGAAUAAUUUAUGUGCUUAUUGUUUUUAAGCGAAACAACCCCAGCUUUUUUUUUGCCUUUUUUUUUUUUUUUUCAGCAAGACGGUUAUUGCAACGUGACUGUUCCAGUCACUGACAUGAAAGCUGGUGGUCUGAUCCUAACGCCCUUUUAAUGCAAUUUUACCAAUUCUCCCAUGCGGAAGCGUACUGGAUGCUGAGCAGGACAUUGGGAGGUGCUUAAAAAGAUUAUCCGCAAAGCCGCGUACGGCGAAGCGAAACGUGACGUCGGGGAAAGCUUUCUGCAACGCCGUUAUUCCCCACGUCUCGCACGGGCGGGGAGACCCAGGAAAAGCUCCGUGGAGGCGGUGGGGUUUGUCACAUCAGCAUCCACGGAGGAAGCUCAGAUCCUACGUGCAUCCUGCAGCUCUCGGCCGCUGCCGUGUCCUUUCUGAGCUGCGAGGAAGACGGUGAUACGCGGCCGUGAUUCCUGGUUACGCAAUUCAGCCGUUUGCAGUUUUGCUUCCAUCCAAACGCCCUCCGGGCUCUUUUCCACAUGAUAAACAAAACAGCCUGCAACGUUUCAUGCAGAAGGCAGAAACCGGUGCCCUGGAUGCUCGCUUUACCCUGCACUUCUGCUUUUUGGCUUGUAGGGAAUGUUCUCCAGCGGAGCUAUCUCAGAUGAAACAAACUGCAAGGAGUAAGCACGCUUUAAAAUGAAAGCGUGUGCUUUUUAUGGGGGGAGGGGUGCAUUUUAUUUCAAAAUUAAAAAGGGAGUUUGACUCUUUGUCCAUAUAUAGUGCAGUAAAGGGCUCCCUGGUUGUUUAUGCUCAGUAACACGGCUGCCAGGAGUGUCCAACGGCAGCCUGGCCACGCUGGGGAUUUCCAAUUUUAGUACAAAAAAGGAAACAGGAAAGAACGAUGUAAACAUCGAUAACGAAGCCCGCGCUUGCCGUGGGUUCCGAAGAGCGCUGCCGGUGCCCCAGGCCUGCUCCUCCUCUCCCCCUGCCUUUCCGAGGGGGCUGUGGAAGGAGGAGAGGCGGGUGCUGGCAGAGGUUUGCAGAGCCCUUGGCCGGGUUGCAAAUCUCCCGAUUGCCUCUGCUGCCUCACUCUUGCUUCCAGCUGUUGGCCCUCAGCCCCUGCUUGAUGCAACAAGCUCUUAGGGGGGGGAAAAAAGGGGGAGAUGAUCUUUUUUGGCAUGAUGUGUCACCGUUAGCUGAAAAAUCAGUGUCAAGGUGCUUUUUUCAGGUACAUUGUGACUAAGGCCCAUGGAGACACCCCACUCGCACAUUAAAAAGUUUCUUUUUUCUAAUGGAAGUAGAAAAAUCUUUGGAAACGUGAUGCGAGUGCUCCCUGAUAGUCUGAAAAAACAGUGUUUAAUGGGCACCAGAUGGGCCACGUAAAAGGAAAACCUGCAAAGCCAGCACCUGCUCUGGCACGGGGACUCUUCUCUUGCAGGUCAACCACUGAGCCCAUCGGCAAAAGCUCAUUUGGGGAGCAAUUGCCUUAAAAUCAUGCAGGGACCCCUGGGCUUCCCUUUCUCCUUCAUUCCAGUUUUGUGUAACCAUAUAAUUAUUUUCUGAUGUGAUAGCAGGACCCUGCCUGGUAAUCCUUCACCCCCCAGGCGCCGCGUAUCAGCUGUGCCUGCACCCCGUGUCCAUGUGCCUUCGCCACUGCCGCACCUCCUUGUUCCCCAAAUUACGAGAGGACAAUCUAUUUAGUGUAUUUUAUCCCAGAUUUGCUGUGCACGACCCGGGGAACUCGCCCAGCCAAACCUGGGCAAGGCUCCCCUCUCCCUGGCUGCCAAGCGUGCGGCAGCCAGCGCCGGCUCGUCUCAACAAGCUGCUGAUGGAGCCGGGAAGGGGGAAGGGAGCAAAGCCACUUGGCUCCCAGCUCCCAGCUCCUGCUCCAGCGGCUGCUGGGAUGCCCACGGGGAAGCAGAGCCCGCUCUUGAGUUAAAAAGCUCAUCCCAAAUCCCACAUAUCCAAAUCUGGGCUGCCAGGCGGUGUAAGCGCCCCAGCCGUGUUUCGCCGGGGAAAAUGGUGCUUUUGGCCGCUCGCUGCAGCUCCUGGCUUUCGUGGAAAUGUUGAAACCCAGCGAUAACCAGCUUUUUUUGUGGUGCAUACGCCUCUUAAGGGUGUUCAGGAAACAUGCGGAUGCAUUCAAGAGCUCACAGCCCCUCUCCUGCUCUUGUCAGGGAAGAGGUUUGCUCUGUGCUGGAGUUGCAGGAACUUCUCCGGGAGACAAGCCCGGCUGCGGGAGCUCCAGCCUCCCCUCCUCUUCUCCAUCUGAGCGAGGAGAAGCCAAGAGGGGAAGAGACACUCACGAGGUUUCCUU